UGCAGACCGGCCCUCGGACCGCGCCGUGCAGCUGCGCCACCCAUAACCAGAGAAAAGAAGAUCUUCUGCAGACUCCCUCGGCUUCUUCAGAAGUGAUAGCGAUGCUUUUCAAGUUGGAAGACCGACACCCUACUUUGCUAUCCGCCAAGGGCUGCAGUGUGAGCAUCGUCAUCCUUUUGGAGCCCCCGGCCAGGAAGAGCCAAGCCAUGCCUUUCCAGGCUGUGUUCUCCAGAGGUGAAUUUUUCCAUUCUCUUUAGUGGAUUCCGACCUGCGGUGUCUAACGAGCCUGGGCAGUACUCUACCACGUGGUACAGGUGCCGCUGGAUACACUCAUUCCACACCUGGCUCCUCGCCAGCAAGCGCAUGCCCAGGUGGUUAGGCUCACGAUGGACAAUGAGCUUUCAAAAAGGAAAAAAAUGGAAAUCACCAACUAUGCUGCCAACUGAAUAAGAGUUUCUUUGUAACAUGUACUGAGUUGAGAAGAUUGUAUUCCUGCAUUGUAUAAUCUACCAACAACCUAC